UAAGGAAUAUUGGACAAUGCCCGCAAGGGUGAUCCAGCCAUGCCGCGUGCAGGAAGAAGGCCCUAUGGGUCGUAAACUGCUUUUACACCGGAGAAAACCCUUCCUCGUGAGGAGGGCUGAUAGUAUGGUGAGAAUAAGCAUCGGCUAACUUCGUGCCAGCAGCCGCGGUAAGACGAAGGAUGCAAGCGUUAUCCGGAUUCAUUGGGUUUAAAGGGAGCGUAGGCGGCCUAAUAAGUCAGUGGUGAAAUCUCCUUGCUUAACGAGGAAAUUGCCAUUGAUACUGUAGGGCUUGAGUACAGUUGCCGUUGGCGGAAUAUGACAUGUAGUGGUGAAAUACAUAGAGAUGUCAUAGAACACCGAUUGCGAAGGCAGCUAACGAAACUGUAACUGACGCUGAGGCUCGAAAGUGCGGGGAUCAAACAGGAUUAGAUACCCCGGUAGUCC
rnacentral:rRNA from 1 species